ensembl:misc_RNA Metazoa_SRP Metazoan signal recognition particle RNA
GCUGGGCGCUGUGGUGCGCCUGUAAUCCCAGCUAUUCGGAAGGCUGAGUCCAAGAGUUCUGGGCUACAGUGCGCUAUGCCGAUCGGGUGUCCACACUAAGUUCAGCAUCAAUAUGGUGACCUCCCGGGAGCGGGGAACACCAGGUUGCCUAAGGAGGGGUGAACCGGCCCAGGUCAGAAUUGUGACUGUGGUUCUGACAUAGGAAUAGACAGGUAGAACAAUGAAACAGACUAGU